rnacentral:rRNA from 1 species
UUCGACACACUAUCAUUAACUGAAUCCAUAGGUUAAUGAGGCGAACCGGGGGAACUGAAACAUCUAAGUACCCCGAGGAAAAGAAAUCAACCGAGAUUCCCCCAGUAGCGGCGAGCGAACGGGGAGCAGCCCAGAGCCUGAAUCAGUGUGUGUGUUAGUGGAAGCGUCUGGAAAGGCGCGCGAUACAGGGUGACAGCCCCGUACACAAAAAUGCACAUGCUGUGAGCUCGAUGAGUAGGGCGGGACACGUGGUAUCCUGUCUGAAUAUGGGGGGACCAUCCUCCAAGGCUAAAUACUCCUGACUGACCGAUAGUGAACCAGUACCGUGAGGGAAAGGCGAAAAGAACCCCGGCGAGGGGAGUGAAAAAGAACCUGAAACCGUGUACGUACAAGCAGUGGGAGCACGCUUAGGCGUGUGACUGCGUACCUUUUGUAUAAUGGGUCAGCGACUUAUAUUCUGUAGCAAGGUUAACCGAAUAGGGGAGCCGAAGGGAAACCGAGUCUUAACUGGGCGUUAAGUUGCAGGGUAUAGACCCGAAACCCGGUGAUCUAGCCAUGGGCAGGUUGAAGGUUGGGUAACACUAACUGGAGGACCGAACCGACUAAUGUUGAAAAAUUAGCGGAUGACUUGUGGCUGGGGGUGAAAGGCCAAUCAAACCGGGAGAUAGCUGGUUCUCCCCGAAAGCUAUUUAGGUAGCGCCUCGUGAAUUCAUCUCCGGGGGUAGAGCACUGUUUCGGCAAGGGGGUCAUCCCGACUUACCAACCCGAUGCAAACUGCGAAUACCGGAGAAUGUUAUCACGGGAGACACACGGCGGGUGCUAACGUCCGUCGUGAAGAGGGAAACAACCCAGACCGCCAGCUAAGGUCCCAAAGUCAUGGUUAAGUGGGAAACGAUGUGGGAAGGCCCAGACAGCCAGGAUGUUGGCUUAGAAGCAGCCAUCAUUUAAAGAAAGCGUAAUAGCUCACUGGUCGAGUCGGCCUGCGCGGAAGAUGUAACGGGGCUAAACCAUGCACCGAAGCUGCGGCAGCGACGCUUAUGCGUUGUUGGGUAGGGGAGCGUUCUGUAAGCCUGUGAAGGUGUGCUGUGAGGCAUGCUGGAGGUAUCAGAAGUGCGAAUGCUGACAUAAGUAACGAUAAAGCGGGUGAAAAGCCCGCUCGCCGGAAGACCAAGGGUUCCUGUCCAACGUUAAUCGGGGCAGGGUGAGUCGACCCCUAAGGCGAGGCCGAAAGGCGUAGUCGAUGGGAAACAGGUUAAUAUUCCUGUACUUGGUGUUACUGCGAAGGGGGGACGGAGAAGGCUAUGUUGGCCGGGCGACGGUUGUCCCGGUUUAAGCGUGUAGGCUGGUUUUCCAGGCAAAUCCGGAAAAUCAAGGCUGAGGCGUGAUGACGAGGCACUACGGUGCUGAAGCAACAAAUGCCCUGCUUCCAGGAAAAGCCUCUAAGCAUCAGGUAACAUCAAAUCGUACCCCAAACCGACACAGGUGGUCAGGUAGAGAAUACCAAGGCGCUUGAGAGAACUCGGGUGAAGGAACUAGGCAAAAUGGUGCCGUAACUUCGGGAGAAGGCACGCUGAUACGUAGGUGAAGUCCCUCGCGGAUGGAGCUGAAAUCAGUCGAAGAUACCAGCUGGCUGCAACUGUUUAUUAAAAACACAGCACUGUGCAAACACGAAAGUGGACGUAUACGGUGUGACGCCUGCCCGGUGCCGGAAGGUUAAUUGAUGGGGUCAGCGCAAGCGAAGCUCUUGAUCGAAGCCCCGGUAAACGGCGGCCGUAACUAUAACGGUCCUAAGGUAGCGAAAUUCCUUGUCGGGUAAGUUCCGACCUGCACGAAUGGCGUAAUGAUGGCCAGGCUGUCUCCACCCGAGACUCAGUGAAAUUGAACUCGCUGUGAAGAUGCAGUGUACCCGCGGCAAGACGGAAAGACCCCGUGAACCUUUACUAUAGCUUGACACUGAACAUUGAGCCUUGAUG